rnacentral:rRNA from 1 species
CGUACACUCCUGCGGGAGGCAGCAGUGGGGAAUAUUGGACAAUGGGCGCAAGCCUGAUCCAGCCAUGCCGCGUGAGUGAUGAAGGCCCUAGGGUUGUAAAGCUCUUUCACCGGUGAAGAUAAUGACGGUAACCGGAGAAGAAGCCCCGGCUAACUUCGUGCCAGCAGCCGCGGUAAUACGAAGGGGGCUAGCGUUGUUCGGAUUUACUGGGCGUAAAGCGCACGUAGGCGGACUAUUAAGUCAGGGGUGAAAUCCCGGGGCUCAACCCCGGAACUGCCUUUGAUACUAGUAGUCUUGAGUUCGAGAGAGGUGAGUGGAAUUCCGAGUGUAGAGGUGAAAUUCGUAGAUAUUCGGAGGAACACCAGUGGCGAAGGCGGCUCACUGGCUCGAUACUGACGCUGAGGUGCGAAAGCGUGGGGAGCAAACAGGAUUAGAUACCCCAGUAGUCC